rnacentral:rRNA from 1 species
UACGGAGGGUGCAAGCGUUAAUCGGAAUUACUGGGCGUAAAGAGUGCGUAGGCGGUUCGUUAAGUCUGUCGUGAAAUCCCCGGGCUCAACCUGGGAAUGGCGAUGGAUACUGGCGAGCUAGAGUGUGUCAGAGGAUGGUGGAAUUCCCGGUGUAGCGGUGAAAUGCGUAGAGAUCGGGAGGAACAUCAGUGGCGAAGGCGGCCAUCUGGGACAACACUGACGCUGAAGCACGAAAGCGUGGGGAGCAAACAGG